AAAUCGAGCAUCUGAUUGCAGCGGAUUUGGAGCGGCUCUUCAUACUGCUGGCUCAAUUUCCGUUACCCAACACAAAGCUAAUAUGUUAGAAUUGUUUGCGAAGACCCACAAACAUAAGGAUGAGACAUGGGUGGAUAAGAAAUCAAAGCAUGUUGAGAAUGCUAUAGAACAGGCUACGUAAAAAGCAUCUGAAGAAAGAAGUAAUGCACCAAAUGAGAUGGAUGUGUGGUGUGAAAUAGCUAGAGUUAAAAAGGGAAGAAUUUAUGGACUUGGAAUAGAAUUCACUGCAAUUGACAAAAGACCUAGUUAUCGUGGCUCCAGAUCUCAGUCAUCUGAUUGGUUGUGAAUGUCAGAACAUGAAGAAAUAAUGAAGAAAAUACAAGAAGAGAAUGUUGACUU